rnacentral:rRNA from 1 species
CAGCAGCCGCGGGAAUACGUAGGUCCCGAGCGUUGUCCGGAUUUAUUGGGCGUAAAGCGAGCGCAGGCGGUUUGAUAAGUCUGAAGUUAAAGGCUGUGGCUCAACCAUAGUUCGCUUUGGAAACUGUCAAACUUGGGUGCAGAAGGGGAGAGUGGAAUUCCAUGUGUAGCGGUGAAAUGCGUAGAUAUAUGGAGGAACACCGGUGGCGAAAGCGGCUCUCUGGUCUGUAACUGACGCUGAGGCUCGAAAGCGUGGGGAGCGAACAGGAUUAGAUACCCCGGUAGUCCCUGUCUCUUAUACA